GCAUGUUGGCUUAAAAAAGGCAGUCCUUUUAAAGGAUCAAUAAAGAACUGCUUAUAAAAUACAAAAUGCGAGGACAAAAGCUGGAAGCAUGUGGCUAAAAAAGGCAGUCCUUUUAAAGGACAAUAAAGAACUGU